GACGGAGGGUGCUAGCGUUGUUCGGCAUUACUGGGCGUAAAGGGCGCGUAGGCGGCCUGUUAAGUCGGGUGUGAAAGCCCGGGGCUCAACCCCGGAACGGCACCCGAGACUGGCGGGCUUGAGACCGAGAGAGGAGAGUGGAAUACCCAGUGUAGAGGUGAAAUUCGUAGAUAUUGGGUGGAACACCAGUGGCGAAAGCGGCUCUCUGGCUCGGUUCUGACGCUGAGGCGCGAAAGCGUGGGGAGCAAACAGG
rnacentral:rRNA from 1 species